UACGAACUGUGCAAACGUUAUUCGGAUUCACUGGGCUUAAAGGGUGCGUAGGCGGCCAUGUAAGUAGGGUGUGAAAUCCCCCGGCUUAACCGGGGAACUGCGCCCUAAACUGUAUGGCUGGAGUGAGAUAGGGGUGUGUGGAACUUCCGGUGGAGCGGUGAAAUAUGUUGAUAUCGGAAGGAACGCCGGUGGCGAAAGCGACACACUGGGUCUCAACUGACGCUGAGGCACGAAAGCCAGGGGAGCGAACGGG
rnacentral:rRNA from 1 species